rnacentral:piRNA from 1 species
UCAUAACUAUGGUCCAGAAGUGUAAGAACUA